rnacentral:rRNA from 1 species
GACAGAGGGUGCAAACGUUGUUCGGAAUUACUGGGCGUAAAGCGCGUGUAGGCGGUCUCGCAAGUCGGAUGUGAAAGCCCAGGGCUCAACCCUGGAAGUGCACUCGAUACUGCGAGGCUAGAGUCCCGGAGAGGAUGGUGGAACUCUCGGUGUAGAGGUGAAAUUCGUAGAUAUCGAGAAGAACACCGGUGGCGAAGGCGGCCAUCUGGACGGUGACUGACGCUGAGACGCGAAAAGCGUGGGGAGCAAACAGG